GAUCACCGUUAAGAUGGAGCUGUGUGAUAAACACGGUUGGAGAGGAAACCGGGAAAAGGGAGCCCGAGGCUGUUCAUCAGCUACUGACGAGAAGCACUCGCAGCUGGAGUAUCAAGACAGAGAAAGUGAGCCACUCUUCAAAGAACAGGAUGGAGAGAGGGACCAGAGACAGCAUCUUAUGGGCUGUGAUGUGCUUACAGAGUGAGAGGACGCUGUGUCUGGCUAUAGCGCUCCAUGCUAAUCAGGAAGGAUUAGUGUAGCGCUAGGACCACCGCAAGAGUUCUGAAAGGGCCCCAUGCAGCUCACCAAGGAAGCCAGCACACAGCCGGAGCCCUCCUCAGCAGGCCCUGUUUGAUUCCACUCUGACGUCUCCCUUGAAGUGGAUUCCUUCAGCCAUCCUCUUUGUUCAGACCUUGACCAUAACCUCCCAUCUGCAUCCAGUCCAGGCUCACCCCGCAAACUGAUAAUUCUUCACCACAGCUUCUGCCGGGUACCUUCUUAAGUUAACCACCUCCUGUUUCAUUCUUCCCCUUACCACCCUCCAAAGGCUCCCCGCUGGUGAGAGUGGUGAUUCCCUGCGCUUCUUUCUCCUGCCCUAAUGUAUGUGAAGAAGACCAACACGUUCCCAUCAAGGACUGUGACUAAAGCGGGUUCUCUCACUGGGGUGGGACACCGACCCUUUGUCAGGGCUGAAUCCGGACGUCUGGAGUGAUUUGCAGUUUGAAAAGGAGCUUUCUAAAUGAGCACUAAAGCCCCUUCACAGUCUAGCCCAAUCUACUUUGCAAGUCUCAAUGCCCAUCCUCCUGCCCUGUCCUGUUCCCCGCCUCCAGCCACAAUGGACGUCACGCCAAGACUAAGAGAGGCCCCUUGACAUCUGUGCCUUUGCACAUGCUGUUCCCUCAGCCUGGAGUUCCUCUAACCACUAACUCACCUUGCUGGGCUCUCUGAAGCUUCACCUUUUGUCUGAGAAGGAAAUACAACUCUCUCCGCUCCUUUCCCUUCUGCAGACCCCAUUCUUCCCCCGGGGUCUCUCGGUCUGGCGUCUGUCCUUCUGACACGCUCAUCACACAGCUCAACAGUUGUUCAUUCACCUCCCCUGAGACUGAGUGUCCAGAGAACAGCGACUCGUCUUAUCCACAUUUGUCAAGAUGGCAGCCAGCUUGGUGCCCAGCAAGACUCAAGAUGGGAGAACCGAACUGGAAGAGAGAUGCCAGAAUUAUCGUCACUCUGGCUGCUGCCACUGCAGCCAUCCUGCUCGCCCUCCUCGUCCGCACCCCGUGCCUUGGGGUGGCCCCUCGUCCCCUCAGUGCCCCCCAGCCUCCUUCCCUGCUAACUCCUGACGGGGCUCCGUGACUGGGGCGGCAGUGAUUUACAACUGCAUUUAGCGGAAUCUAAUCAGAAGUGUGAAUACUCCCCUUCUAUCUGGCACACAUCCUCAGAGCUCUAAUUAUUCACACAUUUUGGCACGCAUUCUGGUGUUCCCCUACCAAGCUCCUAAUCCCCGCAGAUCAGUUAAAAUAAAUGAAAGAGAGACUCAAAAGGCACUUUAAAAAUUCAACUGUUCUCCCAAUGAGUUUGAACGGGCUCCAGAUAACCAGUGGCUGCAGCUGACUGCCAUUUAGAAUAUAAGAGCCCUUCUGCCCACCCCCUUCCACCCCAAGCCCCUUCCUGUACCCCCUGCAUAUAAAAACACGAUUCUCCCUAUUUAAGAGAAACACUUGAGAUCAGGGCCCUGACAUGUUUUCAAUGAUCCGCAUUAAAAACCAAGAAAACAGAGUCACCAUCCCAAGAUCCAAUCAGUGCCAAAGCAAUUCUGCUUUUUCCACGUAGGUAAUACGAGACCAGCCCGGGCCUAACGAUUACAACUUUCCGAAUGCACCUAUUAAAGAGCUCCCCGGGCACAGGAAGUCAUUACCGCAGAAAUUAAAGCCAUGUACCAAGCUCGGAAUUUGAGAAAAGUUUUCAAACAGACAAUACACUCAUGAAUACAAGCACAUGCAGCAAGUACGGGCCCGGCGUCUGCAGAUUUAAGGAAAGCGAUACGUGCAGCUUCCCACACUCCCCACCCUUUCUCUUUGCCUGCAUUUCUCUCCCCGCAGAUCCUCAAAUCUCACUCCUUUAGCGCCUUCAGCUCUUUGUUCAAAUGUCUCCCUUGGAAAAGACCUUCUCUGGCCGCCCUAUUUAAGACUGCAAGCACUCCCCCACCUUCCCGCUUUACUUUCCCUCUAGCGUUUAUCCUCUGACACAGUGUGCAUUUUACUCACUUGUUCGUCAUCUGCCCCUCCCACCACUGGAACGUAGGGAUCCUUGGCUGCUGUGGCCACCGCUGUCUAAAGCAGCACCCAGCAUGUAGCAGGUGCUCAACAACUAUUUGAUAACUGAAGAACAAACUCCUCCUGACGGUCUGUGUCUGUCUGAGACCCAGUCCCAGAAAUCUGUAAUCUUGUACUCGCUCACCUUGUAUCUGAGCAGACUGGCUGGGUGGAAGACGCCAAGUGCAGGAUUAGUAACAUAAGCUUUGGGGGGAAAUCACGGGUUCUGAAUUCUCGACUCGGCUUUGUUCCUCACAUGCUGGGCAAACUGGACUGCUGUCCCCGUAGCUUUGAAACAAGGAGAGUAUACCAAGAAAAAACUAUCUUCCACUAUUACUAGAAAGUUCACAUGCAAGAGAGAACUUGGAAAAGUUAAAGGCACUCUCCACAUGCAAGAUGAUACUAUUCUCCAAAGAUAAGGCAGUGCUGUCGAUUUUACUCUUCCCCAAACCAGGUAUAUUCUCAGUUACAGAAAGUAACAAGUACAUCAUGGUGACAUGUAAGGGAAACAAGGAGACAGUUUAUCUAUGCUCUUCCACUUCAAAACUCUGCAGGCCAGUUGGGGUGGCAGAGGAAAGGCGAGAGCUUUACCAAACUUCUGCUACUAAAAGUUCGGCUUUCCUAACCUCAUCUCUCCGAGAGGCUGGCGGCAACUGCGUGUUUCCUGGGGCAGGGAGGUUCUAGAUGACUCCUUGGACAGGUAAGGGGAUAUUUGCAGUGGUUGAUCAAGUAAGUUAGACUGAAAACACAGAUGAAGGUUUGAAAAUUCUGGUUAUUUGGGAACUUCUCAUCUGAGCACUACUUUGUAGUUGGAGGGGGUGGACUGUAAAUGUGAGCUGUGGUUUGUUUGUUUUUUUUCAAUGGUUAUUCAUAGGAGAGAAGGUUGUUUAACACUGAGCAGAACUGUUCCCUUGCUCCGGCCCAGGUGCCCCGAGUAACUGAGAGACUUUUGUUACUAGGGUCGGCGCCAGACCAAGGAAAACAUCACCCCCACUUGUCUAUUUAUAUAAAAUACUCCAGCCAUUUAUAUGUCUUCGCGUUUGGGGGUAACAGCCACACAGCGUAGACGUUGAUGUUUCAUGCAUGUGAAAUAACACAGUAGAAACCUACUUUAAAAAAUGACUUUUCUUCGGUGUCACCAUGGAAACCAGCCAACAUACUCUCUCCACACCUAACUCUGGGGGUGGGGUAAGGAAUAACAGUGACUGGGGGAAAAAAGUCAAAACGUUGAAAAUGCUCAUAAAUUCUGUUCUGUGCCAAAACAUUUAACCUGAGACAUUUUUCUUCUGCUUUGGGCUGGGAUGUCUACCUGUGAUGUUUACUUCUUGAACUUGGUUUGAUUUUCAAAACUAAGAAAACUCCAAUCGGGAAGUUUAGUGAAGUUCCUAUUAAGCAAUGAAUCACUUCAGGGAAUACAAGGGCCUUCAGCCUGUUCUCUUCAGUGGCUUUGAGUCAGAGGCUA